UACAGGGGGUGCAAGCGUUGCUCGGAAUUAUUGGGCGUAAAGCGCGCGUAGGCGGCCACUUAAGUCGGAUGUGAAAGCCCUUGGCUCAACUGAGGAAGUGCACCCGAAACUGAAUGGCUUGAGUACUAAAGAGGGUCGCGGAAUUCCCGGUGUAGAGGUGAAAUUCGUAGAUAUCGGGAGGAACACCGGUGGCGAAGGCGGUUCUCUGGGCCUUACCUGACGCUGAGGAGCGAAAGCAUGGGGAGCAAACAGG
rnacentral:rRNA from 1 species